rnacentral:tRNA from 1 species
GUGGGUGUGGCUCAGUGGAAGAGCUAUUGCCUCACAUAUGCAAGAUCCUGGGUUCCAUCCCCAGCAUCACACA